rnacentral:rRNA from 1 species
CCUACGGGGGGCAGCAGUGAGGAAUAUUGGUCAAUGGGCGCGAGCCUGAACCAGCCAAGUAGCGUGAAGGAUGACUGCCCUACGGGUUGUAAACUUCUUUUAUAAAGGAAUAAAGUGAGGCACGUGUGCCUUUUUGUAUGUACUUUAUGAAUAAGGAUCGGCUAACUCCGUGCCAGCAGCCGCGGUAAUACGGAGGAUCCGAGCGUUAUCCGGAUUUACUGGGUGUAAAGGGCGUGUAGCCGGGAAGGCAAGUCAGAUGUGAAAUCUGGAGGCUCAACCUCCAAAUUGCAUUUGAAACUGUUUUUCUUGAGUACUGGAGAGGCAGACGGAAUUCCUUGUGUAGCGGUGAAAUGCGUAGAUAUAAGGAGGAACACCAGUGGCGAAGGCGGUCUGCUGGACAGCAACUGACGGUGAGGCGCGAAAGCGUGGGGAGCAAACAGGAUUAGAUACCCCUGUAGUC